UACGUAGGGUGCAAGCGUUAUCCGGAAUUAUUGGGCGUAAAGAGCUCGUAGGCGGUUUGUCGCGUCUGCUGUGAAAACUGGGGCUCAACCCCCAGCCUGCAGUGGGUACGGGCAGACUAGAGUGCGGUAGGGGAGAUUGGAAUUCCUGGUGUAGCGGUAGAAUGCGCAGAUAUCAGGAGGAACACCGAUGGCGAAGGCAGAUCUCUGGGCCGUAACUGACGCUGAGGAGCGAAAGCAUGGGGAGCGAACAGG
rnacentral:rRNA from 1 species